rnacentral:rRNA from 1 species
GACGAACGCUGGCGGCGUGCUUAACACAUGCAAGUCGAACGGAAAGGCCCUGCUUUUGUGGGGUGCUCGAGUGGCGAACGGGUGAGUAACACGUGAGUAACCUGCCCUUGACUUUGGGAUAACUUCAGGAAACUGGGGCUAAUACCGGAUAGGAGCUCCUGCUGCAUGGUGGGGGUUGGAAAGUUUCGGCGGUUGGGGAUGGACUCGCGGCUUAUCAGCUUGUUGGUGGGGUAGUGGCUUACCAAGGCUUUGACGGGUAGCCGGCCUGAGAGGGUGACCGGCCACAUUGGAAUUGGGUUACGCCCAGACUCCUACGGGAGGCAGCAGUGGGGAAUAUUGCACAAUGGGCGGAAGCCUGAUGCAGCAACGCCGCGUGCGGGAUGACGGCCUUCGGGUUGUAAACCGCUUUCGCCUGUGACGAAGCGUGAGUGACGGUAAUGGGUAAAGAAGCACCGGCUAACUACGUG